AAAUUUAACUGUGCGAUUCAGUUUAAUUUGAAAUUAAAUUCUUACUUAAUUUUUUUUUAAUUUAAUU
rnacentral:tRNA from 1 species